UACAGAGGGUGCAAGCGUUGUUCGGAAUUAUUGGGCGUAAAGGGCGUGUAGGCGGCUAGGAAAGUCUUCUGUGAAAUCUACGGGCUCAGCCUGUAACGUGCAGAGGAAACUAUCUGGCUAGAGUGUCGGAGAGGAUAGGGGAAUACCCGGUGUAGCGGUGGAAUGCGCAGAUAUCAGGAGGAACACCAAUAGCGAAGGCAGCUCGCUGGGACGUUACUGACACUGAGGCGCGAAAGCGUGGGGAGCGAACAGG
rnacentral:rRNA from 1 species